UGACCGACCGCUGGUAUUCCAAUUGUGUGUAAACACGCAGCGUUGGGUAGCUAUGUCGGGAAAGGAUAAGCGCUGAAAGCAUCUAAGCGCCAAGCCCCCUUGAAGAUGAAAUGUCCCGGACCGCAAGGUCCCUGAAGGCAGGUUGUAGACUACGACCUCGAUAGGACAGAAGUGUAAGAACAGUAAUGUUUUCAGCUGACUGUUACUAAUAUGCCGUGCGGCUUGACCACCUUUUU
rnacentral:rRNA from 1 species